rnacentral:rRNA from 1 species
GACGAACGCUGGCGGCGUGCCUAAUACAUGCAAGUCGAGCGAGACUCUUCGGAGUCUAGCGGCGGACGGGUGAGUAACACGUGGGCAACCUGCCUGUAAGACUGGGAUAACACCGGGAAACCGGUGCUAAUACCGGAUAAUCUUUUUCCUCUCAUGAGGAAAAGCUGAAAGUCGGUUUCGGCUGACACUUACAGAUGGGCCCGCGGCGCAUUAGCUAGUUGGUGAGGUAACGGCUCACCAAGGAGACGAUGCGUAGCCGACCUGAGAGGGUGAUCGGCCACACUGGGACUGAGACACGGCCCAGACUCCUACGGGAGGCAGCAGUAGGGAAUCUUCCACAAUGGACGAAAGUCUGAUGGAGCAACGCCGCGUGAGUGAUGAAGGCCUUCGGGUCGUAAAGCUCUGUUGUUAGGGAAGAACAAGUACCGGAGUAACUACCGGUACCUUGACGGUACCUAACCAGAAAGCCACGGCUAACUACGUGCCAGCAGCCGCAGUAAAAC